rfam:Myotis lucifugus cont2.4171, whole genome shotgun sequence.
GGCAGUUCUCAGGUGAUGCACCCCAGAAUCGUGCUCCCUCCUCUCUGGUUCCGGGUGUGUCACCUGAGAACCCUG